UAGGGACAGUAUUAAACAGCUUAGGGCCUGGUUUAGAAGGAGGCAAAACUGCUGAAGAUUCCUGAGUGGCCAGAAUUUGAGCUGACUCAUAAGUUUAUAACACUGGAGAAGGUUACAGCGACAGGGAAAGACACAAUGGCUGAAGUAACUCAGUGGGUCAAGGAACAUCUCUGAAGAAAAAAGAUGGGCGACAUUUCAGGUCCUUGGUGCCUAUAGUGAUACACUUAAUAAUUGAAGCAGUGUACGUGAUAUAAUCAUGUCAAUGGAAGUCUCUACAUAAAAUGCUGCCUGAUCUGCUGAGUACUUCAUAAUCUAUGUUAAUGGCAUUUGAUGGAGGAAUAAAUAUUCACCAGACAAUAGAGAGAAAACAAAAUCCCUUGCACUUGGAAACAUUAUCACGGGAGAUCUUAAAAUUCCCAAAGAGCCUUUGGUUUAAUGACCCAUCUGAUUGAGGGCACAUCCAAAUACCAGGAAUAUGACUAAUACCUUGAGGACAAAAUUGGACUUUGUCCAACCGUAUUAAACAACUAUGAAAGUAUCAGCUGCUGGUUUUAUUCAAUAAAACAUAAAGUGCUGGAGGAACUCAAUCGGCCAGGCAACAUCUGUGGAAGAAACGGGCAGAGUUGUGUGUUUCAUAUGUACUAUGCUUACGUAUUCUGUUGUGCUGCAGCAAGUAAGAGUUUCAUUGUUCUAUCUGGGACAUAUAACAAUAAAACACUCUUGACUCUUGACCCUUCUUCAGACUGAUUGUACUUGGAAGUAGAAAGUGGGAAAGGCCAGACAGGGCAAAGCUAGGCAAGUCGUGGGUGGAUGCAAGUGAGGGAGUGGUGAUUGGAUUGGGAGAUGGGUGGAGUAAGUGACAAAGGUGAGAGGUCAUAGAGUCAUAAGGGCCUGUCCCACUUGGUCGUCAUUUGCGCUCCAUUUACACGACCUCAAAAAAUGUGGUCGUCGCAUUGUGACGCACGGGAGGUGCCGACAAGGGAGUUGCCGUGGUAGUCUGGCGCGUCAAUCUCUACAAAGCUGAGGCCAUGCGCCAACUCUCGGACACCUCCUCCUACUUACCCCUGGACCAUGACCGCACAGACGAGCACUGUAAGGACUCCAUCCCCUACUCCCAACUCCUCCAUCUAUGCCGCAUCUGCUCCCAGGAUGAGCUGUUCCACACCAGGGCAUCGGAAAUAUCCUCAUUCUUCAGGGAACAGAGGUUCCCCUCCCCUACUAUUGAUGAGGCACUCAC